rnacentral:rRNA from 1 species
CUGGCUCAGGAUGAACGCUAGCUACAGGCUUAACACAUGCAAGUCGAGGGGCAGCAUUUCAGUUUGCUUGCAAACUGGAGAUGGCGACCGGCGCACGGGUGAGUAACACGUAUCCAACCUGCCGAUAACUCGGGGAUAGCCUUUCGAAAGAAAGAUUAAUACCCGAUGGUAUAAUCAGACCGCAUGGUCUUGUUAUUAAAGAAUUUCGGUUAUCGAUGGGGAUGCGUUCCAUUAGGCAGUUGGUGAGGUAACGGCUCACCAAACCUUCGAUGGAUAGGGGUUCUGAGAGGAAGGUCCCCCACAUUGGAACUGAGACACGGUCCAAACUCCUACGGGAGGCAGCAGUGAGGAAUAUUGGUCAAUGGGCGCAGGCCUGAACCAGCCAAGUAGCGUGAAGGAUGACUGCCCUAUGGGUUGUAAACUUCUUUUAUAUGGGAAUAAAGUUUUCCACGUGUGGAAUUUUGUAUGUACCAUAUGAAUAAGGAUCGGCUAACUCCGUGCCAGCAGCCGCGGUAAUACGGAGGAUCCGAGCGUUAUCCGGAUUUAUUGGGUUUAAAGGGAGCGUAGGUGGACAGUUAAGUCAGUUGUGAAAGUUUGCGGCUCAACCGUAAAAUUGCAGUUGAUACUGGCUGUCUUGAGUACAGUAGAGGUGGGCGGAAUUCGUGGUGUAGCGGUGAAAUGCUUAGAUAUCACGAAGAACUCCGAUUGCGAAGGCAGCUCACUGGACUGCAACUGACACUGAUGCUCGAAAGUGUGGGUAUCAAACAGGAUUAGAUACCCUGGUAGUCCACACAGUAAACGAUGAAUACUCGCUGUUUGCGAUAUACAGUAAGCGGCCAAGCGAAAGCAUUAAGUAUUCCACCUGGGGAGUACGCCGGCAACGGUGAAACUCAAAGGAAUUGACGGGGGCCCGCACAAGCGGAGGAACAUGUGGUUUAAUUCGAUGAUACGCGAGGAACCUUACCCGGGCUUAAAUUGCAUUUGAAUAUAUUGGAAACAGUAUAGCCGUAAGGCAAAUGUGAAGGUGCUGCAUGGUUGUCGUCAGCUCGUGCCGUGAGGUGUCGGCUUAAGUGCCAUAACGAGCGCACCCUUAUCUUUAGUUACUAACAGGUCAUGCUGAGGACUCUAGAGAGACUGCCGUCGUAAGAUGUGAGGAAGGUGGGGAUGACGUCAAAUCAGCACGGCCCUUACGUCCGGGGCUACACACGUGUUACAAUGGGGGGUACAGAAGGCAGCUACCUGGUGACAGGAUGCUAAUCCCAAAAGCCUCUCUCAGUUCGGAUCGAAGUCUGCAACCCGACUUCGUGAAGCUGGAUUCGCUAGUAAUCGCGCAUCAGCCAUGGCGCGGUGAAUACGUUCCCGGGCCUUGCACACACCGCCCGU